rnacentral:rRNA from 1 species
AUUGAACGCUGGCGGCAGGCCUAACACAUGCAAGUCGAACGAGUGGCGUACGGGUGAGUAAUGUCUGGGAAACUGCCUGAUGGAGGGGGAUAACUACUGGAAACGGUAGCCAAUACCGCAUACCAUCGGAUGUGCCCAGAUGGGAUUAGCUAGUAGGUGGGGUAAAGGCUCCCCUAGGCGACGAUCCCUAGCUGGUCGGAGAGGAUGACAGGCAACACUGGAACUGAGACACGGUCCAGACUCCUACGGGAGGCAGCAGGGGGGAAUAUUGAACAAUGGGCGCAAGCCGGAUGCAGCAAUGCCGCGUGUAGGAAGAGGGCCUUCGGGUUGUAAAGUACUUUCAGCGGGGAGGCGUUACCCGAAGAAGAAGCACCGGCUAACUCCGUGCCAGCAGCCGCGGUAAUAC